CCCACGGACCCAGGAUCUGUGCGCAGCAGAUCUGCUUGAUUAGCACAGCUUGGAGAUCUCACGCUGAGUACCCAGGAUCCUUAGCUCCACUGAGGCACGCUUGGAUUCCCAGGACUUCAAAGAGACACACCCACACAGUAACCCGGGGAAGCUGAUUGGAAAGUCAGGAACAUGUCCCAUAUCUUCAUCUUGGAAGCAGCUUUCUGCCUCUGAAGAUUUCCCUGGGAGGCUGUCAUGUGACUUUGUACUUGCUAAUGCAGACGAAUUCGGAACUCAACUUCUCAGCCCUACUGCUCCAUACUGGCUUGUCCUUUGGUGAACAUGGCAGCAGAGGCAGCUGGAUCUUUGGGAACAGUGCCAGCUGAGCUCACAUAUCUGCAGGGACAGUAGUAUGCUUACUAAGCACUCCCCAAAGAAUAGCCACAGUGUCACCUCUAGCCAUCUCCCAUGUGUGUCCUUGUCCUCGAACCCUGAAUUUAGUGUAGUGAGUGUGUGUUGGCGGCGGUGGGGGUGGGGGGAGCAUGCCUACAUGCUUGCUUCAAUGUAAAAACAACAUCAAUCUGGGGAGAUAGCUCAGUGGUUAGUGUUCUCUGCACAAGCAUGAGGACCUGAGUUUGGCCCCCCAGCAGGUGUCUAAAAAGUGGUGUAUGGUGGUACACAACUGUAAUCUCAGCACUGAGAGGUAGA